rnacentral:misc_RNA from 1 species
AAUUCUCAACCCCUCUCGAUUUGCUUCGAGCGGGUGCUUGGAUGUUGGGGGCUGCCGGAGACACUGGAUUUCGUCCAGGACUCGGGCUCCUCUUAAAUGAAUCGGCUCGCGGUCGACUUUCGACUUUGCAUGACAAGGCCUUUGGCGUGAUAAUGAUCGCCGUUCGCCGAAGUGCAAGACAGAAUGGUCCCGUGCCUCUAAUGCGUCGACGCCUCUAGGGGCGUCUUCCUCAUUGAC